GCCUGGGUAGCUCAGUCAGUCGAGCGUCUGACUUCAGUUCAGGUUGUGAACUCGUGGUUCAUGAGUUUAAACCUCACAUCGGGCU
rnacentral:tRNA from 1 species